UCCGGGAACAGUGGGACUUAGACCUCCUCUGCGGGCUCCCGGCCACCGAGACACCGCCGGCAAAGCCUUGGCUCGGGCAGAGGCUCCGUCUGGCAGGCAGCACAACAAGCCAUAGUGUUUCCAGCAUUAUUAAAUUAUUUAGUUCAUAAGCGGGGCUGUUUGUGUCAGUAGCAUAAAUAAAUAAACUUGAAACAUUCUUGCGCUUCUUAUUGAAGGUCAUGUCACUUGAUUUAGUGCUCAAGAGCUUGGUUAUUUGGACACGAAGAAGCUACUUCCCUCAGCAGUAAAGGAAAUAGAAAUUUGACUGUCUAGUGAAACCUACCAAUUCUGCCUAAACAUAUACUGUAGAGGCCAGCAGAGCAGAGUGGCAAGGAAGGGGGGCUCUCCAACAACAGCCUGAGUUCUGAGGCCAGCUCUAAACACUGCUAGCUAUGUAGACUUGUGCAAGUCUGUAGCUACUUUUCCCAGUUUCAUCCCAGUUCAUGUGAGGAUUAAACAAAGUAAUAUGUGCAAAGCCCUUAGAACAUCACUUUUAACAACAUGUUAGCUAUUGGUAUUGUUAUUUUAAAAUCAAUUUGCAAAUAGACAGUUUUUUUUUUUUUGACUUGAUAACUGGCUCUUGGUAGAAAGCAUGAGUAAUAAUAAAAAUAACACAUAUUUGUGUAACAAAUAUUUGAGCCUGAUGAAGACAGAGAGAUAAGUAAGGCCGGGGCAGAUUCUAAAGAAAGUGCUUUACUAUUUUAUCAACCACUUAGCUGUGUUUUCUCAUUUUUGUGCUCUCGGUAGCUCUGGUUAGCAGAAAGGCCUAGUUUGUUCUUCUUUUGUAGAUGGACUGAAAGUCAGACAUAAAAUGACUUGGCCCAGGCCACUCAGCAGAGGCCGGACUUGGUCUCAGUAUCCCUUCCCUCUUCCUCCCAGUCCCUCCGUGUCUGUGCGGAACUCUGCACUGGUGUUUUCUUCUGUACUGUGGAAAUUGGUGAGAGCUGGGCCAUUGCAUUCAUAUUAGAGAGAGAAGUGUUAGCCUCUGGAGAUCAGCUUCAUAAAACCACAAACAUUUUCUUUUUAACUUUAAAUCAAAUGUAUUGAGUAUGAUUUACAUGCAAUAAAACGUACCCAUUUUAAGUAUGCAGUUUGAGGAACGUGGCCAAACAUAUUCACCUUGUACCUGCCUCUGCAAUCAAACAGUAGAGCAUUUCCAUCGCCCCGAGUUUCUGCGUGCUCCUCUGCAGUCUAUGAUUUUCAUCACGAUUUUGGCCUCUUUUAAAUGUCAUAUAAAUGGAACCACAGAACAUGCAGUCUUUUACGUCUGGCUCCUUUUUCAGUGUGCGACCUGUGGCGUUCACCCAUGAAUCAGCACUUCACCCUUUUUACACUCACUUGCUGAUGUACAUUGGGGUUGUUUUCAGGUUUUAGCUUUUUUUUUUUUUUUUUUUUUUUGAGACAGAGUCUCCCUCUGUCGCCCAGGCUGGAGUGCAGUGGCGUGAUCUUGGCUCACUGCAACCUCUGCCUCCUGGGUUCAAGUGAUUCUCCUGCCUCAGCCUCCCGAGUAGCUGGGAUCACAGGCACCCACCACCACACCCAGCUAAUUUUUGUAUUUUUAGUAGAGAUGGGGUUUCACCAUGUUGGCCAGGCUGGUCUUGAACUUCUGACCUCAGGUGAUCCACCCACCUCGGCCUCCCAAAGUGCUGGGAUUACGGGCAUGAGCCACCACGCCCGGCCAGUUAUCUCAUUUUAAUUUGCAUUUCUUUGAUGACUAAUGAUGAUGAGCACUUUCCUAUGUGCUUUCUGACUAUUUGUAUCUCUUCUUUUGUGAAACGUCUGUUCAAAUUUUUUGCUUAUUUUUUAAUUGGGUUUAUUUUCCGUUGUAAGAGCUCUUUAUAUAUUCUGGAUAUAGGCACUUUGUUAGAUAUACAUAUUGAGAAUAUUUUCUCCCGGCCUAUGGCCUGUCUUUUACUUUCUUUUUUUAUUUUUCUUUUUCUUUUUUUUUCUCUGAGACAGAGUUUUGGUCUUGUCACCCAGGCUGGAGCGCAAUGGUGUGAUCUUGGCUCACUGCAACCUCCACCUCUU
rnacentral:lncRNA from 1 species